GACGAACGCUGGCGGCGUGCUUAACACAUGCAAGUCGAACGGAAAGGCCCUGCUUGCAGGGUGCUCGAGUGGCGAACGGGUGAGUAACACGUGGGUGAUCUGCCCCUUACUUUGGGGUAAGCCUGGGAAACUGGGUCUAAUACUGGAUAGGACCAUGCUGUAGGUGGUGUGGUGGAAAGAUUAGUUUCGGUAAGGGAUGAGCUCGCGGCCUAUCAGCUUGUUGGUGGGGUAAUGGCCUACCAAGGCGUCGACGGGUAGCCGGCCUGAGAGGGUGGACGGCCACAUUGGGACUGAGAUACGGCCCAGAAUCCUACGGGAGGCAGCAGUGGGGAAUAUUGCACAAUGGGCGCAAGCCUGAUGCAGCGACGCCGCGUGGGGGAUGACGGCCUUCGUGUUGUAAACUCCUUUCAGCCAUGACGAAGCCCUUGUGGUGACGGUAGUGGUAGAAGAAGCACCGGCUAACUACGUG
rnacentral:rRNA from 1 species